rnacentral:lncRNA from 1 species
GCUUCUGCUCCAGUUUCCAUCCAGCUUGCACUGCUCUGUUACAAUUAUUCAAAGCAGUAUCAUUCAGCUGUCGAAAUAAGUUCCGUUUUUUCUGCAACGAGUUGCAUCUUGUUUCCGGCUCUUUUAUGUGAUGAGUUGCAUCUUUCUUUUACGCGAAGGAUUUCAGGCAUGAGCAUCGUUCUGAUUCUGUGUCACAGUGCAGCUCUACUUGUCACGACGCAGAAAAUUAAGACUGCAGCAAGGGGACAUGUUCGUGCUCCCCGAGGGGAUGGUUCACAAAUACUGCAACAACCACUCCUGCAAGUGACCAUUUCUCUUGGAAGAGCGAACCCUGGUGAAGACUGGUUUCCAAGCCUGAGCAUGAGGUAAUAUAUGUGAUUUCCUUCUUUAUAUGAUGCUAGACUCGUUUAAUGGAAGCUGGAAAAUGAUGUGGCUGUUCUCGGGCCUGGCGGUUUAUGCACAUCAAGAACAUUCAAUCUUUA